CAGUAGCCGCGGGAAUACGAAGGGGGCUAGCGUUGCUCGGAAUUACUGGGCGUAAAGGGAGCGUAGGCGGACAUUUAAGUCAGGGGUGAAAUCCCAGAGCUCAACUCUGGAACUGCCUUUGAUACUGGGUGUCUUGAGUGUGAUAGAGGUAUGUGGAACUCCGAGUGUAGAGGUGAAAUUCGUAGAUAUUCGGAAGAACACCAGUGGCGAAGGCGACAUACUGGAUCAUUACUGACGCUGAGGCUCGAAAGCGUGGGGAGCAAACAGGAUUAGAUACCCCAGUAGUCCCUGUCUCUUAUAC
rnacentral:rRNA from 1 species